UCUUUCCGAUAUUUAAAGUUAGUACACUUGACUUGAAAUCAUUUAGUGUUGAUUAAUAUCCAAGGAAAGAUA
rnacentral:tRNA from 1 species